CUCUCACGUACCAGGAUUCGCAAGCGUGUUAACAUUUCUCUGUUUUUCUUCGCACGCGCACCACCCUCCAUCCGCACGUGUGCUAGCUCAGCCACCGAAAUCAAUACCAAGUAAUAACAUAAAAAAAAUAAAAUAAUAAUAAUAAUAAUCUUAUUGUUGUUAUUUCAUCGUAUCUUCCAAUAUACCCUUUUCUCUGGUUCUAGGGUUUUGCCCUUUUGAGUCAUUUUUUCCUCUCUUUCUAGGGUUUUGCCCUUUUGGGAGAGUCUGUUCCUUCCUUUCCUUCUUUCUGCUAUAGGCUUUUCUGUCAGACCUCUGCUUUUGAGCAGAAAAGAGAACAAAACCCCCCCCCAAAAAAGAUGCGUCUUUUGCUUAGAUAAGAAUAAAAGAAUAUCUCCAUUGAAUUUUCCUCUUUUUCUUCUUUAUUUUCUGGUUUUUUUUUUUUUUUUCUGAUUUUAUGCAGAGAGAAAAGAUGAAGAGAAGGAGAUACUGAUGAUAGGAACCAGAAAUGUCAGGGUGGAGGUGAAGGAAGAGAAUGGCGGAAAUCUGACGCAGAUCGGGUGAUGUAUCGACGACUCUGCCGGAAAUCUGACGACAAUGGAGGGGGACGACGACGUUGCCGGAGGAAGAACCGCGGGAAGGGCAUUUUCGUCACUCUAAAUUAUUAUUAUUAUUGUUUGUUUUCAGGUUGAGAUAAACUUCGGUACUCUGGCAGAGUGUGAUAGAUGAUACGCAGGCACUUACAAAUUGCAAAACUGUAAGAAUUACGUUACCCAGUGUAGAUGUAUCAAAAAUCAAGCUUAUUUGAUU